GAGAAAGGAAUAACAGUUGGAAACGACUGCUAAUGCCCUAUAUGCCUUUAAGACAUAAGUCUGCAAGGGAAAAUGCUUUUGUGCUCGAGGAUGGGACUGUACGGUAUCAGAUAGUUGGUGGGGUAAUGGCCUACCAAGUCAAUGACGCCUAACUGGUUUGAGAGGAUGAUCAGUCACACUGGAACUGAGACACGGUCCAGACUCCUACGGGAGGCAGCAGUGGGGAAUAUUGCACAAUGGAGGAAACUCUGAUGCAGCAACGCCGCGUGGAGGAUGACACAUUUCGGUGCGUAAACUCCUUUUAUAUAGGAAGAUAAUGACGGUACUAUAUGAAUAAGCGCCGGCUAACUCCGUGCCAGCAGCCGCGGUAAUACGGAGGGCGCAAGCGUUACUCGGAAUCACUGGGCGUAAAGAGCGUGUAGGCGGAUAGAUAAGUCAGAAGUGAAAUCCUAUGGCUCAACCAUAGAACUGCUUUUGAAACUGUUUAUCUAGAGUGUGGGAGAGGUAGAUGGAAUUUCUGGUGUAGGGGUAAAAUCCGUAGAGAUCAGAAGGAAUACCGAUUGCGAAGGCGAUCUACUGGAACAUAACUGACGCUGAGACGCGAAAGCGUGGGGAGCAAACAGGAUUAGAUACCCUGGUAGUCCACGCCCUAAACGAUGUACACUAGUUGUUGUGAGGCUUGACCUUGCAGUAAUGCAGUUAACACAUUAAG
rnacentral:rRNA from 1 species